GCAAGUCGAGCGCACCUUCGGGUGAGCGGCGGACGGGUUAGUAACGCGUGGGAAUAUACCCUUCUCUACGGAAUAGCCUCGGGAAACUGAGAGUAAUACCGUAUACGCCCUUCGGGGGAAAGAUUUAUCGGAGAAGGAUUAGCCCGCGUUAGAUUAGAUAGUUGGUGGGGUAAUGGCCUACCAAGGCAACGAUCUGUAGCUGGUCUGAGAGGACGAUC
rnacentral:rRNA from 1 species